rnacentral:rRNA from 1 species
AUUGAACGCUGGCGGCAGGCUAAACACAUGCAAGUCGAGCGGGGUGAUGGUGCUUGCACUAUCACUUAGCGGCGGACGGGUGAGUAAUGCUUAGGAAUCUGCCUAUUAGUGGGGGACAACAUCUCGAAAGGGAUGCUAAUACCGCAUACGUCCUACGGGAGAAAGCAGGGGAUCACUUGUGACCUUGCGCUAAUAGAUGAGCCUAAGUCGGAUUAGCUAGUUGGUGGGGUAAGGCCUACCAAGGCGACGAUCUGUAGCGGGUCUGAGGGGAUGAUCCGCCACACUGGGACUGAGACACGGCCCAGACUCCUACGGGAGGCAGCAGUGGGGAAUAUUGGACAAUGGGGGGAACCCUGAUCCAGCCAUGCCGCGUGUGUGAAGAAGGCCUUAUGGUUGUAAAGCACUUUAAGCGAGGAGGAGGCUCUUUUGGUUAAUACCCAAGAUGAGUGGACGUUACUCGCAGAAUAAGCACCGGCUAACUCUGUGCCAGCCGCCACCGUAA